rnacentral:rRNA from 1 species
GACGAACGCUGGCGGCGUGCUUAACACAUGCAAGUCACGGGGCCGCAAGGGUAACCGGCGAACGGGUGCGUAACACGUGAGCAACCUGCCGAUCUGAGGGGGAGUAGCCGGCCCAACGGCCGGGUAAUACCGCAUACGUUCAUGGGGAGGAGUCUCUCUAUGAAGAAACCUCCGGGGCAGAUCGAGGGGCUCGCGGCCUAUCAGCUAGUUGGCGGUGUAAUGGACCACCAAGGCGACGACGGGUAGCUGGUCUGAGAGGAUGGCCAGCCACAUUGGGGAC